GAUCCUGCUGGCGGCUGCGGCUAUCUGGUUUGACUUAGACAUGCAAGUUUUUUGACCUCUUCGGAAGUUAAAAGCAAACUGCUCAGUAACACGUAGCUAACCUACCCUCGUGCUGGCCAUAACCUCGGGAAACUGAGGCUAAUAGCCAAUAGGAGAAAUUUUCUGGAAUGAUUUUUCUCUGAAAUUUUGUGCGAGGAUGGGGCUGCGGCUGAUUAGGUUGUUGGCGGGGUAAUAGCCCACCAAGCCAUUGAUCAGUAAGGGCUCUUAGCGGAGAAGCCUUGAGAGGGAAUCUGAGAUACUAUUCCCAGCCUUACGGGGUGCAGCAGUCGAGGAAAUUCUGCAAUGCGUGAAAGCGUGACAGAGCGAGCCAGAGUGUGUUUCCGUAUUAGGAAACACUUUUGUGCGAUGUAAAUAAUCGCACGAAUAAGGACCGGGUAAGACUGGUGCCAGCCGCCGCGGUAAUACCAGCGGUCCAAGUCGCAGCCAUUUUUAUUGGGUCUAAAACAUCCGUAGCUUGUUAUAUAAGUCUCUUGUGAAAUCUGGCAUCUCAAAUGUCAGGCUGGCAGGAGAUACUGUAUAACUAGAGACCGGGAGACGUAAGGAGUACGGCUAGGGUAGCGGUAAAAUGCGUUGAUCCUUGCUGGACUAACAACAGCGAAGGCAUCUUACGAAAACGGUUCUGACAGUGAGGGAUGAAGGCUAGGGGCGCAAAACGGAUUAGAUACCCGUGUAGUCCUAGCAGUAAACACUGCACACUAAACAUUGGUGCCUCUUCGAGAGGCAUCGGUGCUGCACCGAAGGGGAAGAGUGUGCUACCUGGGAAGUAUAGUCGCAAGGCCGAAACCUAAAGGAAUAGGCGGGGGGAUACUACAACGAGUGACGCGUGCGGUUCAGUUAGAUUUCACACCGUGAACCUCACCAGAGUCGACAGCAGGAUGAAGGUCAGUCUAAAGGGCUUACCUGACACGCUGAGAGGAGAUGCAUGGCCGACGUCAGCCUGUGUCGUGAGAUGACCUGUUAAAUCAGGUAACAGGCGAGACCCGUGUGUAUAUUUGCAUUUGAACAAUAUACAGACUGCCUUGGUAACAAGGAGGAAGGUGCGGGCAACGUUAGGUGAGUACGUCCCGAAUACUCUGGGCGACACGCGCGCGGCAAUGCUGCAUUCAAAGGGUUGCGACUCCGAAAGGAGAAGCUAAUCUCAUAAACUGCAGCCUAGUUCAGAUCGAGGAUUGCAACUCAUCCUCGUGACGCUGGAAUUCGUAGUAAUCGGGUUUUAUCAGAGUCCGGUGAAUAUGUCAAUGUCCCUUACACUCACCGCCCGUCAAACCAACCGAGUUAUGCGUUGGCGAGGCCCGUCAGGGACGAACCUUUGUAUGACAAGGCAGGUUAAGUCGUCGCAAGGUC
rnacentral:rRNA from 1 species